CAGUAGCCGCGGUAAUACGAAGGGGGCUAGCGUUGCUCGGAAUGACUGGGCGCAAAGGGCGCGUAGGCGGCUUGCACAGUCAGAUGUGAAAUUCCUGGGCUUAACCUGGGGGCUGCAUUUGAUACGUGUGGGCUAGAGUGUGAAAGAGGGUCGUGGAAUUCCCAGUGUAGAGGUGAAAUUCGUAGAUAUUGGGAAGAACACCGGUGGCGAAGGCGGCGACCUGGUUCAUGACUGACGCUGAGGCGCGAAAGCGUGGGGAGCAAACAGGAUUAGAUACCCGCGUAGUCCCUGUCUCUUAUAC
rnacentral:rRNA from 1 species